UACGGAGGGAGCUAGCGUUGUUCGGAAAUACUGGGCGUAAAGCGCACGUAGGCGGCGCAGCAAGUCAGGGGUGAAAUCCCGGGGCUCAACUCCGGAACUGCCCUUGAAACUGCAGUGCUAGAAUCUUGGAGAGGCGAGUGGAAUUCCGAGUGUAGAGGUGAAAUUCGUAGAUAUUCGGAAGAACACCAGUGGCGAAGGCGACUCGCUGGACAAGUAUUGACGCUGAGGUGCGAAAGCGUGGGGAGCAAACAGG
rnacentral:rRNA from 1 species